UAUAACCCCGAGAAAUCGGGGCUAAUACCGGAUGUGACUAUUGGGGGGCCUCCUCUGACAGUCAAAGCUGGGGACCGCAAGGCCUGGCACUUCGCGAUGAGCCCGCGGCCUAUCAGGUAGUUGGCGGGGUAACGGCCCACCAAGCCUAAGACGGGUAGCUGGUCUGAGAGGACGACCAGCCACACUGGAACUGAGACACGGUCCAGACACCUACGGGUGGCAGCAGUCGAGAAUUUUUCACAAUGGGGGAAACCCUGAUGGAGCGACGCCGCGUGGGGGAUGAAUGGCUUCGGCCCGUAAACCCCUGUCAUUCGGGAUCAAAGCGUUUCACCUAACACGUGAGACGUUGAUAGUACCGGAAGAGGAAGGGACGGCUAACUCUGUGCCAGCAGCCGCGGUAAUACAGAGGUCCCAAGCGUUGUUCGGAAUCACUGGGCGUAAAGGGUGCGUA
rnacentral:rRNA from 1 species